rnacentral:rRNA from 1 species
AGCUGCUGCGGUUAAAAGCUCGUAGUUGGAUCUCAGUUCCAGGCGGGUGGUGCAUCUAACCGAUGCCACAGCCCGGGCUGAACAUCAUAUCUGCCGUCCCCUGGUGUCCUUCACUGGAUGCCUCUGGGUGGUCGGUGCAUUUACUUUGAAAAAAUUAGAGUGCUCAACGCAGGCGCAUUGCCUGAAUACUCAUGCAUGGAAUAAUGGAACAAGACCCCGUUUCUGUUCUGUUGGUUUUUGGAAAACGGGGUAAUGAUCAAGAGGGACAGACGGGGGCAUUCGUAUUGCGGCGCUAGAGGUGAAAUUCUUGGACCGUCGCAAGACGAACUACUGCGAAAGCAUUUGCCAAGAAUGUUUUCAUUGAUCAAGAACGAAAGUUAGAGGUUCGAAGGCGAUCAGAUACCGCCCUAGUUCUAACCAUAAACGAUGCCAACCAGCAAUCCGCGUGAGUUACUCAAAUGACUCUGCGGGCAGCUUCCGGGAAACCAAAGUAUUUGGGUUCCGGGGGAAGUAUGGUUGCAAAGCUGAAACUU